AGAACGGCUUUUUUCAAAGCCAUGUUGACUUGGCAUUAUAUUUUAU
rfam:Eurypyga helias contig41890, whole genome shotgun sequence.